ACGGGUGAGUAACGCGUGGGAACAUACCCAACUCUACGGAAUAACUCAGGGAAACUUGUGCUAAUACCGUAUACGCCCUUCGGGGGAAAGAUUUAUCGGAGUUGGAUUGGCCCGCGUUGGAUUAGCUAGUUGGUGGGGUAAAGGCCUACCAAGGCGACGAUCCAUAGCUGGUCUGAGAGGAUGAUCAGCCACAUUGGGACUGAGACACGGCCCAAACUCCUACGGGAGGCAGCAGUGGGGAAUAUUGGACAAUGGGCGCAAGCCUGAUCCAGCCAUGCCGUGUGUGUGAUGAAGGCCUUAGGGUUGUAAAGCACUUUCACCGGAGAAGAUAAUGACGGUAUCCGGAGAAGAAGCCCCGGCUAACUUCGUGCCAGCAGCCGCGGUAAUACGAAGGGGGCUAGCGUUGUUCGGAAUUACUGGGCGUAAAGCGCACGUAGGCGGAUCGAUCAGUCAGGGGUGAAAUCCCAGAGCUCAACUCUGGAACUGCCUUUGAUACUGUCGGUCUAGAGUAUGGAAGAGGUGAGUGGAAUUCCGAGUGUAGAGGUGAAAUUCGUAGA
rnacentral:rRNA from 2 species